GAGCGGUAGUUCAGUUGGUUAGAAUACCGGCCUGUCACGCCGGGGGUCGCGGGUUCGAGCCCCGUCCGCUCCGCCA
rnacentral:tRNA from 1 species